rnacentral:rRNA from 1 species
GACGAACGCUGGCGGCGUGCUUAACACAUGCAAGUCGAACGCUGAAGCUCAGCUUUUGUUGGGUGGAUGAGUGGCGAACGGGUGAGUAACACGUGAGUAACCUGCCCCCUUCUUUGGGAUAACGCCCGGAGACGGGUGCUAAUACUGGAUAUUCACUGGUCUUCGCAUGGGGGUUGGUGGAAAGGGUUUUUCUGGUGGGGGAUGGGCUCGCGGCCUAUCAGCUUGUUGGUGGGGUGAUGGCCUACCAAGGCUUUGACGGGUAGCCGGCCUGAGAGGGUGACCGGUCACAUUGGGACUGAGAUCCGGCCCAGACUCCUACGGGAGGCAGCAGUGGGGAAUAUUGCACAAUGGGCGCAAGCCUGAUACAGCGACGCCGCGUGAGGGAUGGAGGCCUUCGGGUUGUGAACCUCUUUCGCUCAUGGUCAAGCCGCAACAAUGGUUGUGGUGAGGGUAGUGGGUAAAGAAGCGCCGGCUAACUACGUG